GUGAAUCAUCAAAUUUUUGAACGCAAAUUGCACUCUCCGGUUUUCCGGGAGAGUAUGCCUGUUUGAGGGUCAGCCUAAAAAAGAUCGACAUUGUUGCUGUUAUUUAAUGGUGACUUUCGUCGGAGAUUGGGUUAUCUUAAACCUUUUUUUUUUUUGUUUUAGCCGCUUAAAAUUUUUUUUUACCGAUUCCUUGAACGUUUCAAAGUUUUUUUUUCUUUUUCCUUU
rnacentral:misc_RNA from 1 species